CAGAAGCGUAUAUUAAUGUUGUUGCAGUUAAAACGCUCGUAGUUGGAUCUUGGAGGUUUAGGUAAGAGCUCUGUCCGCCUGAAGGCGAGUACGGACUCUCCUCCUCUGUAUUUGGUAACAACGCACGGGGGCCCUUAAUUGGGUACCUCGUGAGCGGGAGGGUUAAUAGCCCGAGCGCGAGGGGGGGCGGGGCGGAGCAAUCCGUAUCUCGUCGCCCAGCGUUUUGCCUCAUUUACUUUGAAAAAAAUAGAGUGCUCAAAGCAGACCUUAGGGUCAUUGAAUAAUUCAGCAUGGGAUAAUAGAACACGAGAUUGAAUUCUUUUUGUUGGUACUUAAGAAUUUGAACUAAUGAUUAAAAGGGAUCGUCGGGGUGGUUUGUAUUGAAGAGCUAGAGGUGAAAUUCUUGGAUUUCUUCAAGACAAACAACUGCGAAAGCAAUCUACUAGGAGAUUCNCAUUAA
rnacentral:rRNA from 1 species